rnacentral:rRNA from 1 species
AUCCAGCCAUGCCGCGUGUGUGAAGAAGGUCUUCGGAUUGUAAAGCACUUUAAGUUGGGAGGAAGGGCAGUUGCCUAAUACGUAACUGUUUUGACGUUACCGACAGAAUAAGCACCGGCUAACUCUGUGCCAGCAGCCGCGGUAAUACAGAGGGUGCAAGCGUUAAUCGGAAUUACUGGGCGUAAAGCGCGCGUAGGUGGUUUGUUAAGUUGGAUGUGAAAUCCCCGGGCUCAACCUGGGAACUGCAUUCAAAACUGACUGACUAGAGUAUGGUAGAGGGUGGUGGAAUUUCCUGUGUAGCGGUGAAAUGCGUAGAUAUAGGAAGGAACACCAGUGGCGAAGGCGACCACCUGGACUGAUACUGACACUGAGGUGCGAAAGCGUGGGGAGCAAACAGGAUUAGAUACCCUG